UCUAUCAGAUCGUCUACCGCUUUCCCAUUUUGAUUUCUUGAACCCUGAAACGAAACCCCAAUUCUGUAACCUCCCGAAUCAAUUCAAUUGAUCUUGCAGCAGCAGCAGCAGCAAAAAUGGGCGUGGCAUCCCGUACCAGAUCCAAAUUGAAGGAAAAAUCAAGAUUAAAGCAAGAAGAAGCAAUAUCUCGGUGGAAAAAUGUUCCUGAAGAAAUAUCUGAUGAGAUAUUUUGGAAAUUACCAGAUGAACAGGUACUGUCGAAGAAGGCUCCAAGGUCUCGUCAUUUAGAAGAAUCACCACAACAAUAUAAUCAUUGCUUUUGAGUACUUUGACAGUAUAAGUUCACAGUUGUAUUUUAGAAUUUCAAGAUACCGCCAAUAUAAUGUACGUUUUCACCGAGAUCUUGUAAAAAUAUUCUUUUUUACUGUGAUUGUUGUUUGCAAUUCUGAUUGCUUUUUUACUCUUUGUUUACCAGUAUCUGGAUUUAUUUAUUUUUAUUUUUGUAUUGUGUGCAAACUUGCCUUGGUUAAAUGUGCGUUCAGUGUGUCAUUAGGCACACGAAUUACUGUUAAGCAA